CAGUCGCCACGGGAAUACGGAGGGUGCAAGCGUUAUCCGGAUUUAUUGGGUUUAAAGGGUCCGUAGGCGGACUUAUAAGUCAGUGGUGAAAGCCUGUCGCUUAACGAUAGAACUGCCAUUGAUACUGUAAGUCUUGAGUAUAUUUGAGGUAGCUGGAAUAAGUAGUGUAGCGGUGAAAUGCAUAGAUAUUACUUAGAACACCAAUUGCGAAGGCAGGUUACCAAGAUAUAACUGACGCUGAGGGACGAAAGCGUGGGUAGCGAACAGGAUUAGAUACCCGCGUAGUCCCUGUCUCUUAUAA
rnacentral:rRNA from 1 species